GGCGACGUAGCCAAGUGGUAAGGCAGGGCUCUGCAAAAGCCCCAUUCGGCAGUUCAAAUCUGCCCGUCGCCUCCA
rnacentral:tRNA from 1 species